GAAAUUCAUUCUCCACCAAGUCCCAUAAUUCCUGAGACUUGAAGAGAGUCUUCAUCUUAAGACUCCAAAAAUGAUAAUUCACCCCUUUGAAAAUUGGAAGAUGUUGGGAGUUAGUGUUAGAGUUUGGAUUUGCUGCCAUUUUUGUCUCUCGGUUUGUGUUCAGAACUUUCUCUCUAACUUAACUAUUUGGUGUAGAGGAGUUAAAGUGAAACCUGGAAAUAGAAAAGAAAGAAGAUUUAUGCUGUAACCCACCUCUUUUUCUAAUUGCUCUGAUACCAAAUAUAUUGGAAACAAAGGCAGAAGCUGAGAUAUACGAAAAAAUACUUUUUUUUACUGCUAAAUUUACUUUACUUGAAAACAAGAACGCCUACUGCCUUUAAUACGCUUACAAUUUAACUGCUAAAUCUAAAAAAUAGUAACUAAUAGAUAAUGGAGAACAUGAGGAGAAGUGGGAAACAUGGCCCACUACUAAUUGAUAAUGCUGUAAAACUAAUAAGAGAACAAAAACAAAUAAAACAUAAGUCCACUACUGCUAAGAAAGAGUCACGACUAAAUCAUGUGCAACUGAACUAUUUUGAAGAAUUAGUCAACAAUUUCGGGACUAGUAAAACUAACGAUAUAACCAAUAUUAACAAAAUUGAAUUCCCACUAACAAAAGCCAUAGCUAUUUUAUCCUUUCUAAUGCAGCUAUAUAUAUAUAUAUAUUAUUUUUUUUCUAUUUAAAAGAAAUUAUUUUCUCUAGUAUUACGUAAUUUUGUGUGUGUUGUUUUUUUAGGUAUUACUUGCGAAUUAUGGUCUUUGCCUAUGUUUAGUUCACACAUACUGGCAAGGAGGAGGAGCUAUCAUAUGUUUUGUGUUGUGGAUUACGGGACAAUGUAAACUUGCCGCAUAAUAUCUAGUUUGAUGCAUAGAGUAAGUCAUUUAUGGUCAGAAAUCGGAAUUGAGCUCUAUGGUGUUUUUUUUCAUCCGUUCUUUAAUAAGUGAAGCGUGCCCACUCACUCCAGAUUUUGGAUAUAGUAAUGUCUUCAUUGGCAACAGUUGCCUUCUGUUGGAACAUAAAUUCUAAAGGUCAUUCUUUUGGUUUGUGCAGGAUUUUGUUUUAGUUUGACACGGACAAAGAAUGCAUCUAAAGAACCAGAAUUGCUGUACCAUAUUCUCACAGGGGACUUUUGAGAGAGAGGUGUUCAGCCCGAAUAUGUGUGCUAAAGCUUAGACACUGACGUUGAACCUCUUCUAGUAUGUUUCCAGCUCAGAAGUUGAUUUGAUUUCUUGUAUAUAAUAUGUUCUCACCUAACUUGGAUCUUGAAAACUCUAAUCAAUAUAAAAUCUGCUUUAGAAAUUUGAAAGGGUGACCGCUGCCUGCUGGGAUUGUUUUCUACUUUAGAUAUCAGUAUUCUCUUAUCUACAAGUGAAUUUAAAGUUAAAGGUUAAUGAAUGGUGUGGUGAAUUGAAAAAGAAUCAGAUAGAAGAAUGACAUCAGCUAUUGAGAAAAUGUCGGAAAAGUUAUAGAAAAGGCAGGUCCAGCGCCGAGGAAAUGCCAAGUUUUUUUGGCAGAAUGCGGAAACAAGAGUCUUAUACUAGUAGUUGCUCAUCGUGACUUGUUU
rnacentral:lncRNA from 1 species